rnacentral:lncRNA from 1 species
AUGAUAAUGUCAUUCAAUGCGACAACUUAUGUCACAUUUAUCAUAGAAGUCCCAAUCUGUUUAUGAUGAAUUAGGAAUUAUUAUAGACAAGGGUUAUUUCAAGUCCAAUUUAUACUCUUAUUGAUAUAUAAAAUCAGAGGAAUAAAACAUUAUUUAUAUAUAUGUUUACACACGAUGCCCCAAAGAACAAUUAAUAAAAAAUGGUUACAGCAUCACAUAUUAGCCCCUUUUUAAUAAGCAGUACUUGUGCUACUCUUAAAAUAGUACCAUUUAACUAUUAAAUAAAUAGAGUCAGCAUUCAUUAGUCUCAUUUUAGUACAAAAAAAAAUAAGAACAGUAAAGAUCAUCUUCUCUCUAAUAGAGGUUACUCCGGCGAUAUUUUCUGAAAAAAUAAAAUAAAAUAACGGCAUGCUUAUUCGAGUGUCAAAUUCAGAGUUGACCAUAACUCUUGGGAGGACACAAUCAGUGGUGUGUCCGACCGGAGUUGCGGUGGUGCUAUUGACCAGAGUAGCGAUGGUGUAUCUGAUCGGAANNNNNNNNNNNNNNNNNNNNNNNNNNNNNNNNNNNNNNNNNNNNNNNNNNNNNNNNNNNNNNNNCGGAAGACCAAAAUUACAUUUAUAGGUAUGUGCUAAAUUAGUUUUCUAUCUCUACCCUUUAAAAUCGAGAUAUUACAUACAAAUUUAGGGCAAUGAACCUGACUCUGAUACCAUUGAAGCAAUUUUCAGAAUUUCAGAUCAAAAUAGUGUACCUUAGUAUGUAGCAGAAUUGUAUGUGCUUCUGAAAUUGGAUCUGCCCAAAUCUGUUUUGAAUCACUUGGAAACAAAACUUUAAUUACAAACUAAAUGCUCUUAUUGUUGUCACUGAUUUUUCUCUGUAUUCAAGACCCAAUUUUUUAUUCUCUGUAUAUUUGUUUCUUAUCCCAUCAGACAAAGAAAACAAAUCAUUUUAUAGGGGUUAUUUGGGGCGGGAACAGUUACAACCGUCCCCCCCUUUACUUGAAUUAAGAUUAUCUUAAUCUUAUUAUUUUAAAAUAAAAAAUGUGUCGGGUCGGGUCGGGUCGGAUCAGCCCACAUGAUGACCCAUAUUAUUAAUCCAACAGAAUCUAAAUUUAUUUGAUGUUGCCCCAUAUUAUUAAUCCAACAGAAUCUAAAUUUAUUUGAUGUUGCUUUGAUCUAUUGAUCUCCUUGACAUUUCUGUUCUCAAAAUAGUGGCAUGCUAUGUAAGGACAAAUCUGUUCAACUCAAUGAAUUCAGUUCCAACAAGCUACGUAAUUGUAACUAGUUUUUUAAAUUUAAGUCUCAUUCAUUUAAUAUAUAUAUAUAUAUAUGUAAAUAAGUAAUAUCAAUUUUUAUUUUAUAGCUUUGAGAACCAAAUCCAAUAUUUUUAUCACAGGAUAUUAACAAAGUCAAAGGUGAAACUAUACUUUAACUGCAAGUUAGAUUCCAUAUGUAUUAUGGUCUAUGUGUAUUCAUUUUUAAAAAAACUUUUAACCUUUAUUUUAUUAGAGUUCGCGGUACUCCCAAAUCCCAAACAUUCAUCAAACUUUUCAGAUAAAUUAUGGCAACUACUCCCUUCAUUUCAUUCGCUUGACUUGGAGUGGGAAAGUCAAAUUAAUUAAUAUUUAAUGUACAUUUGGACAUAUAAUAUUUAUAUUUAUUUAUUUAAUUUUAACUUGAUAUUAGAUUUUAAAAAUAAAAAAAUAUUUUUAAAUUUUACGAUCUUAAAUUAAAAAAAUGUAGAAUAUAUUAAAGUUUUAUUUGUUCUCAUAGUCUUAAAUAUGUUGUUUAAAAAAAAAAAAUUUAGCAAAAAAGUAUAUUUUUUAAAAAUAAAUUUAAAAAAAAUAACACAAAUCGAUCUAAACAAUGAAAAAGUAAUAAUGAAUAAUUUAAAAUAUUUAAAAUAAAUAUAAAAAAUUAUAAUAAAAAAAUUUAUCUUUUUUUUGUGGUGGAAUAUAAAAAGUUUGUCAUUUCACUAGUAUUUUUUUCUGGAUAAAAAUAAAAUAUUCCAAGUUCCUUUCCGUGGCUAUCUUAUUGAUUCUUUGACAAAAAAGAAAAAAGCUAUCUUAUGUUCCCCUUGAUUUAAAACACUCCACAAUCUGACAACUGACAUGUUCAGCUUCCAUUAAUUUAUUUUUUUUGAAACUUUUCAGGAAAAUCUGCAGCCGCUACACCCUCUGUCACAGCCUCUAUCCUUCGGGUGAGCACUCUGUGGUGAGCAUUGUGUGCGCACUGAGUAAACCCCUGAUGCAAUAGCCUGCAAACCACAUGGGAUGUAAACCGCACUAGGCAAGCCCUGUGCGACAGGCUCAAAUCCAGAAGGCAUUGAGGAGAAAAUCGAUCCCUAAUCAUCCGAGUGGGUAACCGCCCUCCAAACCAACUAGUACUUACUUCGGUAGUUUUGUUUGUCCAUGUAAUAAAAUUACUGUUUUAUUUUAUUUAUUAUUAAGAUACGUGUUAGACACUCGAGAUA